rnacentral:ncRNA from 1 species
UUCUUCGGGGUAGGGUGUAAGUCCCAACCGGCGGUAAAGUCCGCGAACCGGUGUAUUUUGAUGCAUUGGCCGAUCUGGUGUGAUUCCAGAACCGACAGUACAGUCUGGAUGAGAGAAGAA